rnacentral:lncRNA from 1 species
GGAAUAAUACUGUAAUAUUGAAGAAGUGCAACUUGCUUUCAACCAAUGAUUGCCAGCCUUCAAACAGCAUUGUGGAUACCCUUCAGGUCUAGCUCAGCUUUGUGUACUACAAUUCUGACAGAGAAAACAACCUCAAACUUCUGAUCCCAGCACUUUGAAACGUCAGUUGCUUCUUGGAGUGUGGACAAGGGUGACGCAUAGUUUACAUUCCAUUAGGGAGAAUGAAUUUCAGGAUUAUCUAUUAAAUCAGGCAAGGCAUCUUGGGCUGAGUGACGAAUUUGGUCCUUUGGAAUCUGCACAUAUUUUCACCUGGAAACACGCAAAGGUGGGAUAACUUAUUUAUAAAAAUUAAUUUGAGCCAAAAUAUAUCUAUUAGUAGUAUAAUACUAUGUGGUUUCACGU